AGAACGAACGCUGGCGGCAUGCCUAAUACAUGCAAGUCGAACGAACACUUCGGUGUUAGUGGCGCACGGGUGCGUAACGCGUGGGAAUCUGCCCUUGGGUUCGGAAUAACAGUUGGAAACGACUGCUAAUACCGGAUGAUAUCGAAAGAUCAAAGAUUUAUCGCCCAGGGAUGAGCCCGCGUAGGAUUAGCUAGUUGGUGAGGUAAAGGCUCACCAAGGCGACGAUCCUUAGCUGGUCUGAGAGGAUGAUCAGCCACACUGGGACUGAGACACGGCCCAGACUCCGUACGGGAGGCAGCAGUAGGGAAUAUUGGACAAGUGGGCGCAAGCCUGAUCCAGCAAUGGCCGCGUGAGUGA
rnacentral:rRNA from 1 species